rnacentral:rRNA from 1 species
AUUGAACGCUGGCGGCAGGCUUAACACAUGCAAGUCGAGCGGGGGAGGUUGCUUCGGUAACUGACCUAGCGGCGGACGGGUGAGUAAUACUUAGGAAUCUGCCUAUUAAUGGGGGACAACAUCUCGAAAGGGAUGCUAAUACCGCAUACGCCCUACGGGGGAAAGCAGGGGAUCACUUGUGACCUUGCGUUAAUAGAUGAGCCUAAGUCGGAUUAGCUAGUUGGUGGGUAAAGGCCUACCAAGGCGACGAUCUGUAGCGGGUCUGAGAGGAUGAUCCGCCACACUGGGACUGAGACACGGCCCAGACUCCUACGGGAGGCAGCAGUGGGGAAUAUUGGACAAUGGGGGGAACCCUGAUCCAGCCAUGCCGCGUGUGUGAAGAAGGCCUUAUGGUUGUAAAGCACUUUAAGCGAGGAGGAGGCUACUGAGACUAAUACUCUUGGAUAGUGGACGUUACUCGCAGAAUAAGCACCGGCUAACUCUGUGCCAGCCGCCGCUGUAACAC